rnacentral:tRNA from 1 species
GAUGGUGUAACUCAGUUGGUAGAGUGGCACUUUUGCAAGGUGUAAGUCGUGGGUUCGAAUCCCACUACCUCCA